rnacentral:lncRNA from 12 species
GCUGUUUUAAUUCUCUUUAAUAGGGAAGUAUUGUAUUUUGUGGCAUGCAAGCUUUCAUUUGGAAACAGUUUUCUCCCUCUUCCUUUUUUCCCAUAAUUAUUCCAGAAAUGAUAAUGACCACAGACAUAGUGUGGUUUGUCUAGCACUUUACUUGUAUAUGUUUUAUAAUAAGGUAAUGCAUCGAGCACGCAGCCUGAAAGCUGACUUGUUGCCUUGCUGCCCUAAAAGCCUAUGAUUCACAGCAACGUUGUGUUGGAAGGUACCUUCCAAAACUGAUUUCAGACAACCUUCUGAGGCAGCAUAAGGGAUUAAUGAUCUACAACAAAAUAGUGAGAGCUUUGAUGAUAACCAAGCAAAUGUUUAAUUACCACAAAUAUUAAUGUCUUGCUAGAAAUCAAGUCAAAAGUAAAAAAAAAAAAAAAAAAAAAAAAAACUUUCUAACUACAGAUUCACAUGCACUGGAUAGCGAUAUAUCAUAGGAAAGGAUACAAUAUGCUGCCUGCUCUGUACACAGGAUGUGACACGAUCAUUGGAUUCAGAUGGAGUCCUUCUUUCAUAAUGUACAGACUUCCUAUUUAGGUUUGGGAUGAGGAAAGAUGUCCACAUCACUCUCUCACUAUAUAAAUUCUCCUCAGUUCCUCUCACAUUCAGAGGCUGGCAAUGGCAGAGUUUAAGCACAUUCAGGACUCCAGCAGCAGCUCACAGAACAACUUUUACUGUGUACUAAAUGAGGACAUUAACAAGAAACCAUCACACACAUGGAAAGUGCAACACCAAUACAGUAAACUGACCGAGGUAGAGAAUGAAGUGGCCAAUCUAACUUCUUCUUUAGCUUUGCUUUCUUCAAACCAACAAGAAACAUAUGACAGAUUUAUGGAGAUGGUCGGUGAACUGAAAGCUGAUCUGAAUAGCAGAAUAACAAAUUUGACUCAGCAUAAACCUGUUCUGAGCUGUAAAGCUGGGUGGCAGCCUUUUCUUUCCAACUGCUAUGAAUUUUCCAGUAAUAAAGUGAGCUGGCAAACGGCACGUUUAUACUGCAAUGGACAAGGCACCCUGCUGCUCAUCCUGGGGAAUGACUCCAGGGAGUGGGUUAGUGAUACACAGACGCAAACAUUGUAUAGAAAUUAAAUAUAAUCUCAUGUAAUGUCUAUGUCAUUUGUUUCAUUCAGGAUUUUAUUGUGCAACACGCUGUUCUUUCAUCUGAAUC